CUAUUAUUUUCCCUUUUCUUUUCAAUAUUUCUUAAUCCUAUCGGAUUUGGUUGAAAUCGAGUUCCAUUCCCAGUCUCAGGAUUCUUAAUCAUUUUUUGAGGAAAUGAAGAGUUCCUUGCAAGAAAACUCCUUAUAAAAGUAAUCGUUUUGAAUGUCUCCCCAGUAAAAGGAUGAUCAAGCAGCACUUAAGGGGAUUUUCCAAUUCCUUUGGGAGACAAAUUGAUCUUGGAAAAUCCGAAGAAUUGAGAAGAACCAAAAUAGAUAUUGAAAACAACCUCACACGAAUAGCAAAGUUCAUUAAAAGCGAAGAGCAAAGCAGAAAAGAUGGAAACUCCAAAAAAGAUAAAGAGGUCGUGGGGCUAAUUGAGGACUUCUACGAUGAAUACCAGUCAUUGUACAAAUUGUAUGGUCGUCUAACUAGAGAGUACAUGAAAGCAACUCCAUGCAUGGAGGGUAAUAGGGUGUCCUCAGUGUCUUCCUCUAGCUUAGAA